AGAGUUUGAUCCUGGCUCAGAUUGAACGCUGGCGGCAUGCCUAACACAUGCAAGUCGAACGGUAGCAGGCCUUCGGGUGCUGACGAGUGGCGGACGGGUGAGUAAUGCGUAGGAAUCUGUCUUUUAGUGGGGGACAACCCAGGGAAACGUUGGGCUAAUACCGCAUGAGCCCUGAGGGGGAAAGGCGGGGAGUCUUCGGACCUCGCGCUAAGAGAGGAGCCUACGUCCGAUUAGCUAGUUGGCGGGGUAAAGGCCCACCAAGGCGACGAUCGGUAGCUGGUCUGAGAGGACGACCAGCCACACUGGCACUGAGAUACGGGCCAGACUCCUACGGGAGGCGAC
rnacentral:rRNA from 1 species